AGUGAACGCUGGCGGUAGGCCUAACACAUGCAAGUCGAACGGCAGCACAGUAAGAGCUUGCUCUUACGGGUGGCGAGUGGCGGACGGGUGAGGAAUACAUCGGAAUCUACUUUUUCGUGGGGGAUAACGUAGGGAAACUUACGCUAAUACCGCAUACGACCUACGGGUGAAAGCAGGGGAUCUUCGUACCUUGCGCGAUUGAAUGAGCCGAUGUCGGAUUAGCUAGUUGGCGGGGUCAAGGCCCACCAAGGCGACGAUCCGUAGCUGGUCUGAGAGGAUGAUCAGCCACACUGGAACUGAGACACGGUCCAGACUCCUACGGGAGGCAGCAGUGGGGAAUAUUGGACAAUGGGCGCAAGCCUGAUCCAGCCAUACCGCGUGGGUGAAGAAGGCCUUCGGGUUGUAAAGCCCUUUUGUUGGGAAAGAAAAGCAGCAGGUUAAUACCCCGCUGUUCUGACGGUACCCAAAGAAUAAGCACCGGCUAACUUCGUG
rnacentral:rRNA from 1 species